AGUGAACGCUGGCGGUAGGCCUAACACAUGCAAGUCGAACGGCAGCACAGUAAGAGCUUGCUCUUACGGGUGGCGAGUGGCGGACGGGUGAGGAAUACAUCGGAAUCUACUUUUUCGUGGGGGAUAACGUAGGGAAACUUACGCUAAUACCGCAUACGACCUACGGGUGAAAGCAGGGGAUCUUCGGACCUUGCGCGAUUGAAUGCGCCGAUGUCGGAUUAGCUAGUUGGCGGGGUAAAGGCCCACCAAGGCGACGAUCCGUAGCUGGUCUGAGAGGAUGAUCAGCCACACUGGAACUGAGACACGGUCCAGACUCCUACGGGAGGCAGCAGUGGGGAAUAUUGGACAAUGGGCGCAAGCCUGAUCCAGCCAUACCGCGUGGGUGAAGAAGGCCUUCGGGUUGUAAAGCCCUUUUAUUGGGAAAGAAAAGCAGCAGGUUAAUACCCCGCUGUUCUGACGGUACCCAAAGAAUAAGCACCGGCUAACUUCGUG
rnacentral:rRNA from 1 species